GAUCAAGCGCGAUAAGGGCGUUUGGUGGAUGCCUUGGCAGCAAGAGGCGAUGAAGGACGUGAUACUCUGCGAUAAGCCAUGGGGAGCUGAGAACAAGCCUUGAUCCAUGGAUUUCCGAAUGGGGAAACCCACCUGAAUGUUUGCUGUUGUGACCCUCGGGUCGUCAACAGUGUGCAUGACCAGGUAUCUUUGACCUGAAUAUAUAGGGUUUAAGAAGCGAACCCGGGGAACUGAAACAUCUAAGUACCCGGAGGAAAGGAUAUCAACAGAUACUCCCCCAGUAGCGGCGAGCGAACGGGGACCAGCCGAGCCGUGAGAAUGACCGGAACGAUCUGGAAAGAUCGGCCAUAGCGGGUGACAGCCCCGUACGGGAAGUUCGAUCGGACGUAUCAAGUAGGGCGGGACACGUGAAAUCCUGUUCGAAGAUCGGGGGACCACCCCCGAAGGCUAAGUACUCCUUGCUGACCGAUAGCGAACCAGUACCGUGAGGGAAAGGUGAAAAGCACCCCGACGAGGGGAGUGAAACAGUUUCUGAAACCGGACGCCUACAAGCAGUCGGAGGGAUCCUGCAUCCUGACGGCGUACCUUUUGUAUAAUGGGUCAACGACUUGGUCUGUCUGGCAAGCUUAAGCCGUUAGGUGUAGGCGCAGCGAAAGCGAGUGUUAAAUGCGCGACGAAGUCAGACGGAUCAGACCCGAAACCGAGUGAUCUAGGCAUGAGCAGGCUGAAGGUUGGGUAACACCAACUGGAGGGCCGAACCCACACCCGUUGAAAAGGGUCGGGAUGACUUGUGCCUAGGGGUGAAAGGCCAAUCAAACUCGGAGAUAGCUGGUUCUCCGCGAAAGCUAUUUAGGUAGCGCCUCGGACGUAUCCCUCGGGGGGUAGAGCACUGCAUGGAUGAUGGGGGCCCACAGCCUUACUGAGUCUAAGCAAACUCCGAAUACCCGAGAGGAUUAUCCGGGAGACACACGGCGGGUGCUAACGUCCGUCGUGGAGAGGGAAACAACCCUGACCAACAGCUAAGGCCCCCAAUUCGUGGCUAAGUGGGAAAGCAUGUGAGACUUCCAAAACAACCAGGAGGUUGGCUUAGAAGCAGCCAUCCUUUAAAGAUAGCGUAACAGCUCACUGGUCUAAUUCAGAGGUCUUGCGGCGAAGAUGUAACGGGGCUCAAGCCACGAGCCGAAGCUUUGGAUGCACAUUUGAUGUGCGUGGUAGCGGAGCGUUCUGUGAUAGAGGACGCUGCCUCUUUUGUCUGAGGCGUCCAUGGUCAUCCGCGAGGAUGACGGACAAGACAGCCAACGGAGGCAAUGUUCUGACUGUGAAGCCGGGCCGUGAGGCAUCCGGUGGAGUGAUCAGAAGCGAGAAUGUUGACAUGAGUAGCGACAAACAGGGUGAGAGACCCUGUCGCCGAAAGUCCAAGGGUUCCUGCUUAAAGCUAAUCUGAGCAGGGUAAGCCGGCCCCUAAGGCGAGGCCGAAAGGCGUAGUCGAUGGGAACCAGGUUAAUAUUCCUGGGCCAGGAGAUGGUGACGGAUCCCGAAGGUCGUUCGAUCUUAACGGAUUGAUCGGGCUGCUGAGGGGUUCCUGGAAAUAGCCCUCCAUGAGACCGUACCCGAAACCGACACAGGUGGACUGGUAGAGAAUACCAAGGCGCUUGAGAGAACCACAUUUAAGGAACUCGGCAAAAUACCUCCGUAAGUUCGCGAGAAGGAGGCCCGGUUGGUGCGCAAGCAUCGGUCGGGGGCACAAACCAGGGGGUGGCGACUGUUUACUAAAAACACAGGGCUCUGCGAAGCCGCAAGGCGACGUAUAGGGUCUGACGCCUGCCCGGUGCCGGAAGGUUAAAAGGAGAGGUGCAAGCCUUGAAUUGAAGCCCCGGUAAACGGCGGCCGUAACUAUAACGGUCCUAAGGUAGCGAAAUUCCUUGUCGGGUAAGUUCCGACCUGCACGAAUGGCGUAACGACUUCCCCGCUGUCUCAAAUGUGGACUCAGCGAAAUUGAAUUGUCUGUGAAGAUGCAGACUUCCCGCGGUUAGACGGAAAGACCCCAUGCACCUUUACUACAGCUUCGCACUGGCAUCAGGCGCGCGAUGUGCAGGAUAGGCGGUAGGCUUUGAAGCGGGAACGCCAGUUCCCGUGGAGCCAUCCUUGAGAUACCGC
rnacentral:rRNA from 1 species